rfam:Danio rerio chromosome 4, GRCz11 reference primary assembly.
GGCGCUGUGGCUUAGUUGGUCAAAGCGCCUGUCUCGUAAAUAGGAGAUUCUGGGUUCAAAUCCCAGCAGUGCCU